CUUCCUUCUUUAACUUGGUGUCUGAGGAGUUUUGUCUGGGCUGGUCCUGCUACAUUUCUUGGUUCCCUGACCCAGAAGCGAGGUGAUUGGUGGAUGGUCAAGGCAGCUCCUUAGGCAGCUUCUUAGGCAGCUUAAGCCUGCCCUGUGGAACAUCCCUGCGGGGGACUCCGACCAGACCAGCCCAAGCGACGUGGAUCCUGAGAGCGUUCCUGGGUAGGCAUUUGCCCUGGUGGGACGCCUCGCCAGAGCAAUGUGUGGCAGGUCCCCGUGGGGGAUCAACGCAGUGGCUGAACACCAGGAAGGAAUGGGCACUUGGAGUCUGGACACCUAAAACUUGAGCAUCCCUGCAGGGGACUCUGGCCAGCUUGAGCAACACGGAUCCUAAGAGCGCUCCCGGGUAGGCAUUUGCCCCGGUUGAACACCUCACCAGAGCAGCGCACAGCAGGCCCCCGCGGAGGAUCAACGCAGUGGCUGAACACCGGGAAGGAACUGGCACUUUAAGUCUGGACAUCUGAAACUUGACCUGACCUCCAGGACCAGCCUUGGGCAUCAGUAAACUGGGAGCUAUACGUGGACGGGAACAGCUUCAUCAACCCACAAGGAGAGAGAUGUGCAGAAUAUGCGGUGGUAACCCUGGACACUGUCGUUAAGCUGAGCUGAUUGCUUUAAUUCAGUCCUUAGAACUCAGUGAAGUUGCAGGUGUUGUGUCUUGGAUCCAUCACAGUCAGCUAACACUGGCAGCUCAGGACAAGUGGACCAGCCAGCAGGAUGCAGAUCACCCAACCUGGCUGAUCCUGAGACGAGACCAAGCUGCUGCUGAGGACGACAGCCCUGCUCUGGUCACUCCGGAGGCUGACCAGUCUACGCACGGCCGAAGCUUGAGGACUCAUCGAGCAAGUAAAUGUAGUUAAAAAUCUUAAGACUAAUAGUUUUCCUGUAAUACUAACUGUUUUCCUAUUGUUCGGUCGCUGUAUUCAACCUUUUUCCCAGGUAAGGACCUCUUUUGUCCUUGCUGGAUACGAAUAUGCUGUACAUUGUUUUGUUGUUGUUAACCCCCAUAACCAUGUUAGAAGAAACACCUAUAUAAGGUGUCCCCACUGUACACAUACUACUUAGGAAACCCAGACCUGUCCAGCCCAGUAACAAUUCUGAGUCUUUCAGUCAUUCUUUAAACAUAUAAACCAGAAGUUACCAGAACCUCCUCCUUUAGCAAAAACAGAAAAAACCUAUUUGCUCAGCUGGCUGAAAACAUUGCUAGCUGCCUAGAUGUUUCUUCAUGUUAUGUUUAUAAAAAGGCUAACAUAAGAGACCAAUGGCCUUGAGAAGCAAAAGAGUUAAUGCCUCAAGAUAACUUUAACUAGCUCUUUCCCCAAACAGAUGCCACAAGUUCAAGCAUCUGGCUCUUAAAACUUCUAUUAUUAAAAAAUACCAUGUUACUCACUAGGAAAAAGCUUUUAAGACACAGUAAAAAGAACUAACCUGCUUAAGGCAUGACAAAGUUGGUACAUGUGCAUAUACAGGUUUAACACAGGUCUGAUCCUAGGUGUUCAUUUAGAACAUAGUUUCCAGCUGUAAGAAAAUUUAAAACCCUCAUUGUAAGUGUAUUACUAGUAAUAGGAACUUGCUUGCUGCUCCCCUGUAUAUUAUAUUUGCUCCUUCAAAUGAUAAAAGGUUUUGUAGCUACCAUGGUUCAGCAGAAAACUUCAACACAAGUAUAUUACAUAAAAUACUAUCACUCUGUCUCACAAAAAGACUCAAAAAGUAAAAAUAAAAGAACUCCCACUGAUUAGUGAAAAUUCUCAAAGGGGGAGAUAAGGAAGGAGACCACUACUACUCCUGCUGCCCUCCUCUCCCCACCUUGCCUAGUUCGCAAGACAGGAGGAGAGAAAAACAAAAAGUUGGAAAAAAAACAAAAGUAAGAUAAACAGCCAGACAACCUUGGCACCACCACCCGGCCUUAGGAGUUAAAAAAAGUAAUAAUGAUAACCUCAACCCCUGACCUAAACUACUUGUGUUGUCUGUAAAUUUCAGACACUGUAUGAAAAAAAGCAUUGUAAAACUUUUUGUUCUGUUAGCUGAUGCAUAUAGCCCCCAGUCAUGUUUCCCAUGCUUGCUUGAUGUACCACGACCCUUACACGUGGACCCCUUAAAGUUGUAAACCUUUAAAAAGGCCAAGAAUUUCUUUUUCGGGGAGCUCGGCUCUUAAGACACGAGUCUGACAAUGCUCCUGGCCGAAUAAAAACCUCUUCCUUCUUUAAUUCAGUGUCUGAGGAGUUUUGUCUGUGGCUCGUCCUGCUACAAUAAAAGGUUAAAAAGAGUCUAUAAAAUCUUACCUUAUGGUCAAACAUUAAAAAUUAGAUAAAUAUGUCUACAAGGUUUUAUUAAAAUUAAGUUUAACAUUAAUAACACACUAAUAUAAAAAUAAAAUUUAGCUUAUCUGGUAUAAAAAUCACACGAGAAGCACUGUUAAGUGUAAAAUGGUAUUUGGCUUUCUUUGGUUUAAAAAGUAAUAAACAUUUUUCUCAGUAAAAAGGCACUAAGGAAUAUAAAGUCCACUGCCAAGGUCCC
rnacentral:lncRNA from 10 species